rnacentral:rRNA from 1 species
ACAUUGGUAACUUACCUUUAUCUUGGGUAUAACCCGGAGAAAUCUGGGACAAUCCCCAAUAGUCAUGGGGGGACACAAGUCAUUCCCAUGUAAAGUUUUUUCGGAUAAAGAGAGGCCUAUGGCUCAUCAGCUAGUUGGUAGGGUAAUGGCCUACCAAGGCUACGACGAGUAGCAGGUGUGAGAGCACGACCUGCCCCACUGGGACUGAGACACUGCCCAGACUCCUACGGGAGGCUGCAGUCAAGAAUCUUCCUCAAUGGACGAAAGUCUGAAGGAGCAAUGCCGCGUGAUCGAUGAAGCCCUUCGGGGUGUAAAGAUCUUUUAUCAGGGACGAAUUUGUGACGGUACCUGAUGAAUAUGUCACUGCUAACUUCGUGCCAGCAGCAGCGGUAAUACGAAGGUGGCAAGCGUUACCCGGAAUGAUUGGGCGUAAAGCGUCCGCAGACGGUUAAAAAAGUUCUUGGUUAAAUCUGGUGGCUCAACCUCCAGACCGCUGGGAAUACUUUUUGACUAGAGACUGGAAGAGGUAAGCGGAAUUGCCGGUGUAGUAGUAAAAUGCGUUGAUAUCGGCAGGAACACCAAAAGCGAAGGCAGCUUGCUAGUACAGUUCUGACGUUCAGGGACGAAAGCGUGGGUAGCGAAUGGGAUUAGAUACCCCAGUAGUCCACGCCGUAAACGAUGGGUACUAAGCAUUGGGAGUAUCGACCCUCUCAGUGUUGUUUAACUAAGCUAACGCCUUAAGUACCCCGCCUGGGAAGUACGGCCGCAAGGCUAAAACUCAAAGGAAUUGACGGGAGCCCGCACAAGCGGUGGAGCGUGUGGUUUAAUUCGACAGUAAGCGAGGAACCUUACCAAGGCUUGAAAUCUAGCUGCGUACUCUAGAAAUAGAGUAGCCUACGAGGGUGCUAGACAGGUGCUGCAUGGUUGUCGUCAGCUCGUGUCGUGAGAUGUUGGGUUAAGUCCCUUAACGAGCGCAACCCUUAUCCUAUGUUAAAUGUUCAUGGGAGACUGCCUCGGUUUAACGAGGAGGAAGGUGAGGAUGACGUCAAAUCAGCAUGGCUCUUACGCCUUGGGCAACACACGCGCUACAAUGGCUGGUACAAUGGGUCGCAAAACCGUAAGGUGAAGCCAAUCCCAUCAAAACCAGCCCCAGUUCGGAUUGAGGUCUGCAACUCGACCUCAUGAAGUUGGAAUCGCUAGUAAACGCCAAUCAGCUACGUGGCGUUGAAUACGUUCUCGGGCUUUGUACACACCGCCCGUCACACCAAGAGAGUCGGUAACACCCGAAGACUGACCUAGUGUUGGAUUAAGGUGAGAUCGAUGAUAGGGGUGAAGUCGUAACGAGGCA